UACGGAGGGUCCAAGCGUUAUCCGGAAUCAUUGGGUUUAAAGGGUCCGUAGGCGGCCUUGUAAGUCAGUGGUGAAAUCUCCCCGCUCAACGGGGAAACUGCCAUUGAUACUGCAGGGCUUGAAUUACUGGGAAGUAACUAGAAUAUGUAGUGUAGCGGUGAAAUGCUUAGAGAUUACAUGGAAUACCGAUUGCGAAGGCAGGUUACUACCGGUAUAUUGACGCUGAUGG
rnacentral:rRNA from 1 species